rnacentral:rRNA from 1 species
UGAGCAAUCUGCCCUUCACUCGGGGAUAAGCCUCGGAAGCGAGGUCUAAUACCCGAUACGACCAGCCUUCGCAUGGGGUGCUGGUGGAAAGUUUUGUCGGUGGAGGAUGUGCUCGCGGCCUAUCAGCUUGUUGGUGGGGUAAUGGCUCACCAAGGCGACGACGGGUAGCCGGCCUGAGAGGGCGAUCGGCCACACGUGGGACUGAGACACGGCCCAGACCUCCGUACGGGAG